rnacentral:rRNA from 1 species
ACGGGGUGCAGCAGGCGCGAAAUCUUCACAAUGUGCGAAAGCACGAUGAGGGGAUCCCAAGUGUUGGUUCGUAAGAAUCAUCUGUUUCUUUGUCUAAAAAACAGAGAGAGUAAGAGCUGGGUAAGACGGGUGCCAGCCGCCGCGGUAAUACCUGCAGCUCAAGUGGUGGCCGCUAUUAUUGGGCCUAAAACGUCCGUAGCCGGUUUAGUAAAUGCUUGGGUAAAUUGUGUAGCUCAACUAUACGAAUACCGAGUAGACUGCUGAACUUGGGACCGGGAGAGGCUAGAGGUACUCCUAGGGUAGAGGUGAAAUUCUGUAAUCCUAGGGGGACCACCAGUGGCGAAGGCGUCUAGCUAGAACGGGUCUGACGGUGAGGGGCGAAGCCCUGGGGCGCAAACCGGAUUAGAUACCCGGGUAGUCCAGGGUGUAAACGCUGCUCGCUUGAUGUUAGUUGGGCUCCGAGCCCAACUAGUGUCGGAGAGAAGUUGUUAAGCGAGCUGCCUGGGAAGUACGGUCGCAAGGCUGAAACUUAAAGGAAUUGGCGGGGGAGCACAGCAACGGGUGGAGCGUGCGGUUUAAUUGGAUUCAACGCCGGAAAUCUCACCGGAGGCGACGGUUAUAUGAAGGCCAGGCUGAUGACCUUGCCUGAUUUUCCGAGAAGUGGUGCAUGGCCGUCGUCAGUUCGUACCGUGAGGCGUUCUGUUAAGUCAGACAACGAACGAGACCCUCAUCUUUAGUUGCUACUGGUAAGUCCGCUUAUCAG